rnacentral:misc_RNA from 1 species
UGGUUCCCGCAUCGAUGAAGAACGCAGCGAAACGCGAUAGUUAAUGUGAAUUGCAGAAUUCAGUGAAUCAUCGAGUCUUUGAACGCACAUUGCGCCUUUUGGUAUUCCGAGAGGCACGCCUGUCUGAGCGUCAGCAAAACCCUUCGGCUGUCAAUUUAUUGCGGCCGGCGUUGGCGGCGGGUAAGAGCUUCCCCUCACGGGUAAGCCCCCCCACGCUUAAACCCAACGGCGGGGCGAACGGUUUGGCCGCAGCAAUAGUAGAAAUAUCUUUGCUCACGCGCCGUCCCGAGCCGCGACCGGCCACAAAUGAACCCCAAUUUUUUGACCUCAGAUCAGACGAGGAUACCCGCUGA